GGAGGUGCCCGUGGGGAACCACGGGGGGAGGCGGCCGUCGCUGAGCCGGCCGUGGGGAGGGGCUCGGGGCCCUUGAGAGCGGCCCCCACCCCGCUUUCCGGGGCCAUCGAGUUCUGUGGUUUUUUUAUCAUUGACAAUAAUAAUAUUUAUAACACGGCUGGACUCCUGUCAUCUCCCGCUCCAGCGGGCCCGGCGCCGCCGACUGUGCUGCCCCGCGGUUCCAGCAGAGGACGGUGGCGGCCCACCUCCCUCCCCUCCUCCUCCUCCUCCUCCUGCUGCUCCUCCCUGCCACCUCCUCCUCCUUUGUUCCCCGCGGAUCCCGGGCCGCCCACGGAGGCCCACCCCCGCCCACCCCCAAGGAAGGACGGACGCGGAGCCGGGCGGGCGACACUCCGAGCCUUGUUGGGGUCUAUACACUGGGUGGGGCGGAGUGGCCGUAUACACGUACAAAAAGAGGGAGGGAAGGGGCUUCCUUGGGCCCGGCGGCCGGGGCCACAGGCCGGGCCCGGACCCCGAGCGUGCAGUCUACCGUGGGGCCUUUCCCCACCCCGGGGAAGACGCGGGAGCCCCGCGGCCACCCGCCUCUUCCCGCCUCCGCUUAUCGCCGGGGCACAGCCGGGGGGGCCGGGCCGGAGGGGCGACGAGGGGAGCGUGGAAGGGGUGGGGGCGGCGGGGCGGAGGGGACGGACCCCUCCCCCUCCCCAUCCUGUCCCCACUUGGAGCGCGGGGGGGAAGGGCAAAGUGCAGCGUGGGCCCCUCGGCGACCGGGCGGGCGGAGGCAGGCCUCACGCCAUCCAGGGCGGGUGGCGGGGCGGCUCCAUCUUCCGGCUCUGGGCGGUGGCCAGAGGGAGAGGCCCCCCCCCCCGGGCACCGAGUCCAACCUUGUUGUCCGAAGAGCCGGGCCCGCGGCUUCCCGGCCGCGGUGGGCUCCUGCCUCAGUGUGGGGCCGGGGCCCGGGGGGCGCCGCAGGGCGGGGCGUGGCUCCAGGCGCGGCGCAGGCCGCCGGGGGGUCCGGCGCGGAGGCCUGCGGGGGGCGGGGAGAGACGUGUGAGCCCCGGGGGCCGGGGCGCCCCUGCCGGUGCCCACCACGUUCAGCCGGGGGUGCAGAAGGGCCCGGCCCCGCUCGGGAGGAGGCCGCGGGCGGCUCCCGCUCUGCCCGAGACCGAGGUUCGCUCCCAAGUUCCUCCUCCUGUCGCUGCUGCAGCAGCAGGCCGGGCUGGGGGCCGUGGGCCAGCCGGGCACCCGUGGCCACGAGCCCUCCGACACGCAGAGCUUCUGCGUCGGGCACCCGGCGGAGGGCCCGGUGCCUCCCGAGGGGCUGCCGCAGGAGUGAUGAGUGACACCUCUUCCCCCCGCCCCCCGAGCCAGGGGAAAUUUGGGAAGAGAGGGGUGGGGAGGGUGAGGCAUGCGGGACGAGGAACCGGGGAGCCCACCGGGGCACGCAGAUGGGAGCGGGGAGGGGAACCCGACAGAGCCCGUUCGUGCAGGAAGGGCCGCCCCGGGUGGCCGACGGGGGGCACCGGGCGGGGAGCGGGGCAGGCACAUGCAGAGACCGGAGGCUCCGGUACCUGA
rnacentral:lncRNA from 1 species